rnacentral:lncRNA from 1 species
CUCUGUAAAAAUUUAUUGGAAACCUAACUUAAUUAUCUUUCCAACGGUAUAUGGCUUGCACUUUAAUUCUGGCUCAAUCAAUACAGUUUUUAUUCCGAAUUUGACCUUUCUGCAUUUGAUACAACUUGUGUAUUUGGCUGCCCAAUGACUUGAAUAAUGCCCACAAUGCCUUGUCUUCUCUUCAAGCCCAAUUCAUGAUGUCUUGCAUCUUGAAUUGCAUUUUCAAUCCAUAUUUUCUCAAUUAAUCCAUU